rnacentral:rRNA from 1 species
CCUACGGGUGGCAGCAGUGAGGAAUAUUGGUCAAUGGACGCGAGUCUGAACCAGCCAAGCCGCGUGAAGGAUGACGGUUCUGUGUAUUGUAAACCUCUUUUGUCCGGGAAUAAUGACUGGGACGUGUCUCCGCUUGAGAGUAUCUGACGAAUAAGCAUCGGCUAACUCCGUUCCAGCAGCCGCGGUAAUACGGAGGAUCCAAGCGUUAUCCGGAUUUAUUGGGUUUAAAGGGUUCGUAGGCGGUUUUAUAAGUUAGAGGUGAAAAGUCGGGGCUCAACUCCGGACGUGCCGUUAAGACUGGAUGUCUAGAGAAGAGAAGAGGUAGGCGGAAUGCGCGGUGUAGCGGUGAAAUGCGUAGAUAUCAUGCAGAACUCCGAUUGCGAAGGCAGCAUACCGGACUAUAACUGACGCUGAGGCACGAAAGCGUGGGGAGCAAACAGGAUUAGAUACCCGAGUAGUC